rnacentral:misc_RNA from 1 species
AUCACAAAUUCCUGUAGGAGCUGCCGUAGGCGGCGAUCUUUUGAUCUUGAUUUCCAAGGGUAAGAUCAAAAGAUCGCCGCCUACGGCAGCUCCUACAUUGGGA